AGUGAACGUUGGCGGCGUGGAUUAGGCAUGCAAGUCGAGCGAGAACCGUAGCAAUACGGGGAAAGCGGCGCAAGGGACAGUAAUGUGUAGGUACCUACCCCUGGGUUCGGGAUAGCCGCGGGAAACUGCGGGUAAUACCGAAUAACGUCUUCGGACCAAAGGUGUGAUUCCACCUGGGGAGGGGCCUGCAUCCUAUUAGCUAGUUGGUGGGGUAACGGCUCACCAAGGCCAUGAUGGGUAGCAGGUGUGAGAGCACGACCUGCGUCACUGGGACUGAGACACUGCCCAGACACCUACGGGUGGCUGCAGUCGAGAAUCUUCGGCAAUGGGCGCAAGCCUGACCGAGCGACGCCGCGUGCGGGAUGAAGGCCUUCGGGUUGUAAACCGCUGUCAGUGGGGAGGAAGGCUCCGUGAAGAACGGGGUUUGACCUAUCCGCAGAGGAAGUGUGGGCUAAGUUCGUGCCAGCAGCCGCAGUAAUAC
rnacentral:rRNA from 1 species